CUGAGUGUCGGAGCUGAUUCCAAGAUACCCUUAAAUCUAUUGAUACAAUUCAUCUCCCCUGCCAUAUAUGUCUUCUCCAUAUCUAAAGCGUGUCUUCUUCUUUCCUUUCCCUGCUGUCGAAUACUAGCGGUGAUCUUAUUAAAGGUUAAACAUGGCGUGCCUAAUGUAAUUCCUCUUGGUUGGCUUUAAUUCUAUCUGGAUAAGUACAUAAUAGACGGCGAGAGAAGAUGAUGUUUCAUUCAUUUGUCUUCUUGAACUGUUGAGCUGCAGAAAAGUAGAAGCUACGUGGAUGAGCGGGUGACUCGACAGUCACAAGCAUCCCUGCCAUUUCAUUGGAUGUUUAUUUGUAAAGAAGAUUGAUGGGUGCAGUGACUGCAGUGUGUAGCGAGCUCUGACAGUCUGACUAUGAGAUAUGAUUUUUUUUUUUGGAGCACAGGCUAUGAGAUACGAUUUCACGUAAGGCUACGCGCUUGAGGUUGACUGGACAAUGAUGAUCAAUAAUUGACCGCAGCAAGAAAACGAUUAAAUUGGUGCAUGGAAUGGGGACCAUCGUUCGGUACAUGGAGCACCAACUUCGUCCGAUCUUUUCCACCCCUACGCGGCAGGAAGAGAUUGGCUGCAUGAGAGGAUUGGUGGGAUUCCAGGAGUUGGCCCGAUUCCUAGGUGUCGGUGGCCUUUUAGGCAAAUUUCAUAUUUUUAAGCUCCAGACUACGAGAGCAUUUAAGCUCGCACCAAUCAGGGGUUUGCACCACCUUCUCCGCCUUCUCCUUAUAAAUAUAGCCAACAAAAUUAAAAAAUAAAAUACUAUAUAAAAAUAUUAGCACAAUUUUAUAAUCUGUUCAUGUAAAAAUUCUAAAAUAAUGAGCCGCAAAAAAAAAGCAGGAGGAGUUGCACCUUGGAUGGCUCCUCGGAGCAGUAACUUUGUACAAUUGGGGGAUUCCAUACUGAAGACUGAAGUACGUUGCCCCUCCUUUGCUCAUCGCCCUUUUCUGCAGCCCAAUAAAGAAAAACCGAGGAUGGGGAAGCAAAAUGAGUACAAAGAAAGUGAUAUUAUCCUAGAUGUUUCACGGAUAUAUAGCAAAGUAGUGCAGUCAAAAAAUGAUGAAAAGUACUUUUAUUGGAAAGUGAAAUAGAGCAUACUAUUACAAGAUUUCACUUGUUGCCCUCGAAAAGUGAAAUAGAGCAAAUAGUUGUUGGCCUUGUAAUCACACUUUCAACUACCAAAAAUAAGAAGAAUUUAAUAUUUUUAACUACCUCUUGGAUCAGAAAUUCUGAGAUAAAUCCUUAAAGAUCAUGACACAUGACCCAGUUAUCACUGAGCACAGGAGCUCAUACAAUGUCUACAGCAACGUCUGGUGCUCGCCAGCCUGAACCCAACAGUGAUGUCACAGAGAGAAUGGUGCUUGAAUGCAUGCCUCCAUGUGGACUGGGUUCCUAACAACAUUUUUCUUAGCUAAAAUGGCACUAUCCUUCGGAAAUUAAGGGACCCUGCGCACCCCAGAAGCUGGGGCCACCUUUUUAUUCUUCUUGAUAUACAUCAUCGAUCAGAAUGCAAUAACUGUCACAAUUAUUUUGGAAAAAGUCGAAAAAUAUAUACAAGUAGCUUUAAUACAUGUCGACACACUAGCUCAGGACCACUUCUUGAUCGGAAGAAAAAAUGAUUUUGGAGUUCAAUGUCUGCUAGUUUUUUUCUCUUUAUCAUUCUAAUUUUGCCAAAACCAAUGAAUGGGAAUCUCCUAACUAGUUUGCAUGGAGAGGGUUAUGCCUAAUAAAAGGUAGAGGAUGGAGAAUCUGGAGAUAAUGGACAAAGUGAGACAGCUUUUGUAGGAGCACAUUGUUUGCUUGUAAGAGCAAAGAUUAAUUGUGUUUGCUUGCAUCUUUGUUCUUGUUGUUGUUGUUCUUCUUCUUCUUCUUCUUCUUCUUCUUCUUUUUACUGAGGAAGACACAGAAAACAUAAGACAAGAAAUCUUAGAUCAAACGCACAGGUAGUAAAAGAAAAUUUAUUUGGGUUGAAACUAGACUAGAGCAUGCAUGCAGUUUGGAAACUUGAAGAUAGAUGGAUACUACACAUGACGUGCAUCACUGAAUCAUAUGGAUAGGUUAAGAAAGCAUAAUUAUCUUGCAAUACUUUGUGAACUCUCCUACAUCUGAACACCAAACUAUUCUCAUGUUCAUUUUACUGGUGACAUAAUAAGUUGGAGAGAAAACUUUCAUCUUUCUCAAUCAAAAAGAUACCGACAAUUCAUCGGAAUUCACAUUUAGCUUUACCCAGAAUAGGACACCUACAUUCAUAUAAAAGAAUAAAAAAAGGGAUAAUCCAUCUACUUCAAAUAACUGCAAUGUAAACUCAUCUCAAACAGGUCCCAGAAAGAAAUCCUACUAAUUCAUAGUGUUCUUCACUCUUUUAUAACAGUAGUUAAAUCUUUUAUUGUUCUAAAGGUGAGAAUCACUCUGAAUUUCUGUAGCUCUGAGAUAUAUUUACCUUUCUCAGGAUAGGAUGUGAACUUCUAACUUUCAAUGUUUCAAAAAAGUAUACAAAAAGAGACUUUUUAUACAUAAACAAUUGGGAUAACAGAUUGUAUCUUUUGAUGGGCUUAUUGUGUUCAUGAAUGAAAACAUAAAAAAUCUUCAUGCUUUGAAUUUUUUUAGCCCUAUUGCCAUGCUACUGAUAAACUGAAAAAUGUAAUAAUUGGGAUCUAAUGAUUUUACAAAGUUACUUUUUACUAUAUGACUUGCAUGUGGUAUAAUUCCUGUCCCAACCUCUUCCUGUAUCAGUUUGCAUGACGAUAGCAAUUCAACAUGCGAUAUCAAGGUGGGAUCCACAAUGUCAAAAAUAUCAUGAGAAAACACCACUUGGAACUAUAACUUUGAACUGAUUCUGAUCUAGCUAAGAGAUCUAAACCCCAUCAUCCUGAAACACUAAUACCACAAUUAUAUACAUACAAAAGUAGCAACACAACAUCGAGUACAAUUUCUCUAAUCUGAGCCUAGGUUCGGUGAGAAUAUUUUAACACCCUUUCACCGAUAUCCACUGCAACCAUAUGGGUGUAGCAUAAUGGCUGCAUUGAAUGGCUAACGCCCCAGAAGGCCUACAUAUAACAUGUCCAUAAGAUAACAAUAGAGAGAGCCUGACUAAUGCCUAUACUUAAAGAUAUUCUGAGUCUCACUUGAAAUGCAUUUUGUCCAAAUAAAUAAAGGGUUGAUUACCUUUGCCAUAUUUAAAUAUCAAAUCCUGAAAGAAUCAGAAAUAAAAUUUGACUUCAUGGAAAUUUUUGGUACAAAUUACUAGAACACGCAUCAUAAGUCUUCUAUAUUCUCAUGUAUAUUCUCUUAGAACAGAUUUUAUUAUGCAUUCAAGCAGACACCCAAAACAAAGCCUGAGUUCCUCAACAAUGGACUAUAACUUCUUUUCUUCUUAUCACUGGCUUCAUUAUUUACUCGAAUAGGCACCCAUUCAUCCAUUCCCGUUGAUUCAAGAAUUAUGAACAAGAAGGUGCUUUCAGCCAAAUGAAGAAAUGGAUAUAAGUUCAUAUGCUUUAUUAUGCAUUCAAGCAAGAUUCACCUUACUAGUGCAUACUGCUCGGUGUCAAGCAUACCAUACCUUAAUGGUACUAAACCAAUACUCAGUACAGGGGCACACCUAGUGUCUGGGCAUCAUACCAAACAUACUAACACUAUAAUUACGGGUGUGGUACCGAGAUUGUGAACCUUAUACUAUCAUUAGGUCUAGUAAGGUAAAUAGUUUUAAGCUUCUCAUUGUGAAAAUAUUGGAAAAGAAAGAAGAUAAUAAUUCACAUGGAAUAGAGAUAUAAACUCAAGAAAAUCAACACAGCCUUCAUGUUAAAGCGCCAUGAUAACCCAAUAUUUGCAAGUCAAACAAAAAAAAACCUUAGAUAUUAAAGGAAAUUAAGGUGAGAGAUAAGAAGCCUCACAGGAGAUGUAUUAUGUCUUAUAUGUCAAAGGACGUGGCCUUUUUCAAGAAUGGAUAGGGAGCAGCGAGCAGCAUGAACGAGAUCGGCAAUGACAAUGCUAUGGAGGUAUCGCUCCUCUGAUCCAAACAAGACCUCCGUCUUAUUGGCCAACCGGGCGGCAUGAAUUAGUGGGAGAUCAGGGGAGUUGAGGCUUCUCAGAAUUUGCCGGUACAAGGAAAACACAGUCCCUCGAUUACUUGGCGGGGGAGGGGGGAAUAACAUCACACAAAUGGAGUGGCAUACAAGUGAAGCAAAUCGACAAACAUCUAAUGUGCUACACUGAGAACUAUAUACGCCUAGAAUUUUCUAACAAAAUAAAUAUUCAGAGCCAGGAAAGCCAAUUAAGAUACUCAAAAGACAAAUAUAUUUUCCAGGGAGACGAGCUGAAAGGCCAGAAAUCAGAUUCCUCUCCGACAUGUUCAAUGCCAAAGCUUCGAAAACUAGCAAGAGAGCGUACAUAAGCGAGUAGCUAAAGAUUAUAGCUGCUGCUGGGUGGGAUAAGAUAUCGAAAACUAUAAGAGCUUUCUCUUCCCAAAGAACACCAAGGAGUACGAGAGGGCCCAAGUUUUUGUCUUAAUUUCGGCAAAUAGUUUGCCGAACGCAUAUGGAAUGCCUUAUAUGGACACCGAGCAUUCUUCGGUGGCUUAUUUGCAUGGUUCUCUUGUUUUUUUUAAUCCAGUGUUGUGCAAAUUGAAGUGCUAAACCUUUUAUUUAUGCUUUCUUUAGCUAAAUCUUAUAUAUAUUUGUUUGUAGAGGCCUAGUUUUUUCUUUUUUGUUCCUUUUUUUUUUUUUAUAUCUAUGACUUCUAUAUCUAUGCUUUCUUUAGCAAAUUGAAGUGCUAAACCUUUUUUUCUUUAGCUAAAUCUUUAUUUUUCUUUUUCUUUUUUGUCCUUUGGCUAAACAUUUAUCCUGUUGAUUGCUAUCAAGGUGGAUAUCUGGGCCGACUUGAGUCAGAAGGCUUUGUAUGGACUAUGACUUAAAAAAAAAAGAAUGGCUUUGUAUAGACUAUGACUGGAAUUCUGGGCCGACUUGAGUCAGAAGGCAUUGGAUGUCAGUUUACGGAUCCUUGGGUAUUGGGUGGAGACUUCAACAUAGCCCGUUUCUUCAGUGAAAGGUAAGCAGGAUUCAAAGGUGAUGUGUUACAAUUCUCUGAUGUCAUUAGGCAUCUGAAUUUAAUUGAUUUUCCAAUUAGAGGGCGAUCUUUCUCACUCAGAGAAAUGCCAGUGCUUGCAAAGCUAGCCAGAUUACUGAUUUCUGUUGAUUCGGAGACCCAUUAUCCAUCGGCGAAAGGUCGGCGGCGGCGCACCUCGACGGUACUCCGACCAUGCACCCUUUUGCUUGAAUUGCGAUGAACAAGUCCUCUCCCAAGGCACGUUUAGAUUUGAGAAAAAUAUGGACCAUGGUAGAUGAUUUUGACCUGGGGAUGGCGAUAAAAGAUUCUUCUGAAGCAGCUGUAGAGGUUCGCAAUGGAAAAUGAAGUUGAGUUUACCAGUAAUUGGGUGCUAUUAAUUUGUAGAGAAAUCUUUCGGUAAUUUCGAUGACAUGUAAAUAAGACUGAUCAUUGAUCGACCCGCAAAGUAGUCCUGUGAUCUAGCUACACCGAAUCCAGUUUUAUCAACCAUACUAACUAUCUGUGAUAAUUAAUUAAGCUAAUGCUCAUCUGAGGAUAUGAGGCUCUCUCUCUUUUCUAACUUUGCUCUGAUGAUGCCCUCACCUGCUGAAAUCACAGAAGAAUAAAUAGUAGAUAAUCUCUAGGUUUGCAACAUAGGCUUAAUUUGUUUCAUCGAACUGUCCUGAGGCUAUGUAGGUCCCUUAAAUAUGUGUCACCUUGAAGAGAAGUGUUUUCAUGAUUCUUCUGCAUGCAAUUUUAAUUUAUCUACAUCAUAAUCAAGACAUCACAUGUACUCAUAAGUGGCUAAGAUGUGUAAUCACAGUAAAAGAGCAUAUAUUGAUGAAGAACCUAGAACUGAAUACCAAAUCAGGCAGCAUUAGCUUCAUCAAUUUCCAUUACAUAACAUAAAUUAUCAUGAACAUUGCUAUUAUCAUGAAAAUGACAGAAAUUAUUCGCCUGUUCCAAUUUUUGUAGCAAUAGUUGUAACGACACCGAGACAUCGACAUGGGACAUUACAUUGCGGUGCUGGUGUUAUUUGACGAAGUCAUUAUUUACAUUUUGUAAUUUUAUUUUUGUAGCAUUAUACUUUUAUUACAUGCAUAAAAGUCUUAUAAUAAAUAACAAAAAUAUGGUAGCACCAUUAUGAUGGUCAUUAUAAUGUUAUGUUACAAAGGAUUAUUGCACUUAACAAUAUGCCAAAUAUGUUUUGGAAACUUAAUACGUAGCAUUUAUAUAUAACAGGGCGACAGACUGGAUGGUGGUAUAUGUAGUUAGUCACUCAAGAAGCACCUUAUAGAUUGAGAAGGGUGAGAUGCCUGGUGCAUUUCGAGGCUUUUUGUUUAUCGAUCCUACUAGAUGUAUGGGUAGCCCUGAUGUAUGAAUGGUCCGUAUCAGGAAAAAAAAAAAAACAAUCUAAUACGCAGCGACAUCCGAAAGCAAGCAUUCAUGACGGCGAGGGGAGGUACACGGUUACCAAGAAAAUCUAAGCUGGAUCUCGAUAGAAAACGAUGCUUCAUCCUCGAUGAUGCACGGGGGAGAUCGGCUCCAGGAUCCAAUUCGCUGAAGCUCCACCGUGGCACCAGCACUUGGAUCACAGCCGUCCAUUGUAGCAUUUAAUGGUCUCCGUGGACGGGCUGGCAAUUUUCUCGGGUGUUCCGUUCCUUUCAAGCGCCGGGCCCACCAUGUCAGCAUCGUGGAGGGUCCAGGCCGUCCCAUUGGUUGCUCCGGUCCGCGAGAAUGGCUUAACCUCAACGGAAAGUUAAAGCUGAGUCCUAACAAGCUUUCUUAGUGUGCGAAUUUUCUAUGGUUGUUCGGAAGAAACAACCUGAUAAAAUACUCUGCUUUUUAUCUAUCACUGUCAAAAGUUGAAAAUUAAUCAAUGUAAAAAGGCUAAACCUACAUGUGAUUUAACUAAGGCUUUGCUUGCUUAAUAUGUGGGCUUGCAUUAAUGGACAUGGGUCAUACUUAAGAGGAAGGUGAACUUAGAUCAUGCAGCAUGUCUAGGACUCCUCUUACACUAAUCUUUGCUACGAAGACUUUUCUUGAGGGCAUAUAGCUGCUUUAAAGGUCCUCUAUAUUGGGCUCAACCAACAUUAAUGAUCACGCUAAGCACCUGCACAAACUGUGCGUCACUUUUUUUAUUUUAUUAUUAUUAUUAUUAUUUUUGGUUUAACGGUGCGGACACGUGAUCCACCUAAUAAAACCUUGCAAGUGAUGUGCAGCAAAAGAGGUAACCCAGUCAGCAGCACAGUUUGCCCUCCUGUAAACAUGUAUGGCCAGGUAGGAGUCACACUCCUCCAGAAGUCCGCGGAUGUCGUGGAGCGACAGCCUCUUCUCUGCAGUGCAUCCCCGACUUUGGACCCACCCGAUCAUAGUGGUCGAGACUCCCUCCAAAAGGAUACAGUCUGCACUCAGGACGCGUCUCGCAUAAGUAACGCUCUCCCAUGCUGCUCUGAGCUCAGCGCACACAACGGACGUGUCGAAGAUCCGCUGCCCUCUGUUGCCACUAGUCCGACGUCAUGAUCUCGGAUGACAAAUCCCACGCCUCCGCAUCUCCUUCCCUCAACCACACUGCCGUCAAAAUUCAUCUUGAGAAAGCUAGAGAGCAUCCAGGAAACAAACACGGUUCUGAGCAUUGUAGUGGCUGAGUGGGAGCUCCAGAUUUUUUUAGCUAACCCUGUAGGUGAAACUCCAGUGAUACCGACGAACCCUCCCACAUGUAGUAGUGCUCUGUCCAUCACUACCCUCGGGUGAGAGCCACUAUUCUCGAAAACUCAGACGUUCCUAUUUAAACAAUAAUAGCAAGCUAGAUAGGCAGCCCGUAACCCCCUCUCCAGCUAUGUGUUACCUUUAGCGACCUCGCUCUACGCAUGACUUAGGCUACGCUAAUUCUAAACCUCUUAGGCUAGUGCACCUGUGUGAGUUUUAACAUAUUCUUAAUUUAAUAGAAUCAAUACUUGAGUACAGUCGUUUUGCUCCACUUCAUUCUAAAUUUCUCAUCUUUAGCGUAGCACGCAAAUCGAGAAAAUUAAAGGUUUUUUUGCAGAUCGCUUCGUAUGCUAUCUAAAAACAUGACAUGAUGGGGAUGUAACCCUCCUGUAGCACGUUAUAUGAAGCCAAUCACCUAUGUAGAAAUAAUAGAGUUACAUAGUAUUUGUACAACCAACCGGAUACAUGUAAUGCACGUCAAUAAAAGAAUGAAUUAAUAAAAAAUUAAAGGGAUAGGAGAUUGUGCAUCUCCGUGUGUUUUCCCGGCCAUGCUAAGACAAGUGAUCAUGGUCCACGUCCAAGCCAUCGGGCCCAAAUUCGGCCUGUUUAUUAAAAUAAAUUAAAAUUUUAAAUCCAAAUCCAAUCAAUUUAUUAAACAAGUAAUCCGAUCCGGUCUACAUAAUCUAUUUAUUAAACGGAUUAAAUAGAUUUAAAUAGAUUAAGCAAGUUAGAUUAAAUAUAGAAUCAACACGAGUUAAAUAGGUCAAAUGUUUAAAUCUGAAUUUAAUCCAUUUAAUAAACAAGUUUAGACGGAAUGAUCCAUUUACAAUCCAAAUCUAUUUUUGUUAAAUCUAAACUUACUUAAACCGGGUCAUUCACGAAUCAAAUUAGCCGGUCGGGGCAUAAAUUGCUAUCCUUAUCUGCAGGUCCACGCAUCUUUGUCCCAGGCCAAAUAGCUCGUGUGUGAAGAGAAGACGGGGACCAAGAUUCCAGUAGCCUUGCACUAUAAUCCAAGUAAGACCCACGAGAGGUGCCUCAUUAAUAUACUAAUCUUAACUUCGACUUCGCAAGAAAGUAACAUGGACCGCUGCUAAUGCGAGGCCUGUCCUACUCUCCGUCCCUUUAAUUGGUAGUUGCGGCAACCACCUUUCCUUCUUCCUUAAUUGGGUCCUCAUCACUUACCUUGCAAUUAUUAUAGUCCUAUUACCGAUUUGAGGACACCUUUUAAGAUUCAGUCGAACCACGUACGUAGAAAUGUGCUAACCACUAACAUAAGUCCUCAACAACCUACUUUGCAAGCUUAAGGUAUAUAUUUUAAGCUAAAAGGAGUCAUCUCCACCACCAAGGUGGUAGCCCAGUUAGAACGGGGCGUUUGCUUCUAACCAAGUGGUUCCAGGUUCGAAACGCACGGGCGUCGAUUAAAUCUGGGGACCGGAUGCCCCGCGCCUGGACACGGAGUCUGGAAGUGCUACUGGUCGGCUGGUAGCCUGGGUGGUGCCAGGUGUGACGUAUUCACACGGGGUACUCGUGCCAGGGCCCAGUGGGGUAACUGAGCCGGGGCCAUNNNNNNNNNNNNNNNNNNNNNNNNNNNNNNNNNNNNNNNNNNNNNNNNNNNNNNNNNNNNNNNNNNNNNNNNNNNNNNNNNNNNNNNNNNNNNNNNNNNNNNNNNNNNNNNNNNNNNNNNNNNNNNNNNNNNNNNNNNNNNNNNNNNNNNNNNNNUAUUUUUUAAGCAAAAAAAAAAAAAGGAGUCAUCUCCAUACGACGUUGAUUAUAUCCAUCGAUAUUGACAAAGAAAGUGACUGAGAGAGCAUAAUCGAUCUUAUUCCAUCUUGUAUUAUUUUUUAGCUGACCAGCCAUGUACUUUGUAAAUAUUUUUAUUUUUUAUCUUUUUUUUCUUCAUCAAAACCUUAAAUAAUCAGUACAAUUUUUUUAAAAUAUAUAUGUAUAAAUAUCGAAUAUCCUUGGACUAGUAUUUUUUUUUGUUUUUGGCCAAUACUUGUUGAAUUAAUUGCUAAAUUUCGAGGGAUCAUCAUCUUUAUCUAGAACUUGAAGAUGCUGUGACUUAAACAGGAUGAUCACCCCGAGAUUUACUAUUUGUUUAUCUGCAAUGUGGAGCUAUGUACUUGAUAAUUCAAAGCAUCUUGGACCUAAUGAUACCGUAAAUAGAAUAAUUCAAAGCAUCUUGGACCAAAUUGGACUCUCUUAAAUCAAAUUAAUUAUCGAGCUUAGCUGGGUUAGUGUUUGACAAGAACUACGACUUUACAAUAGAGUACCAAUCUCAUUCGGACCAAGCACAACCUAGAACGUUAGGUCUGGCCGGCCUCUAUAUUCUGUGUGAAAGAAACAAUGAAGAGAGGAUAAGGAAACAAGCCAUGAAUUAAUUAGAUUAUCUAGAAGUGGAGGAUGCAAUUUAAGUUUUAUAUACCAAAGCAAUUUUUUUAUGAAAUGGUGGAAGAAGUCCAGUCCCUACCGUCUCGUGGACUAAUUGAGUGGAAGCCUUUACUUCUUUCAUGUGUUUAUAAGCCUUUACUUUUUAAGAUUGUGUCAGCUCAGCUUAUGUCAUUUACCACUCAUAUUACAAAAAGAUAUGUUGUAAAGAAGUCUGCUACCUAAAAUUAUACAGCCUACCUAUCUCAUAUUCCAUAGAAGGCCUUUAUAAGACAAAUUGCUCCAAAAACUUUGAGUCAUGUCCCGAAAUAUAUUCAAAAAAGAGUGUUUCAAGACCCGAGAUUUCUGCCAUUGCAUGAUUUAUUUCUAUAUUUUUGUGAAUUUUAUGUUACAAUAAAACAAUCUUAUCAUUGCACCAAGGUCCAUCUUUUAUUCUGCAAUAUGUUCAAACCCUCCUCCUGCCCAAACCAUGAAAUAUAAGCUGAUCUCUUUAUCCUGAGAGGGGUUUUUAGGGUAAUAUAGCAGCCAAACUCAGCUGUCUCACAUCCCAGCCACCAGCCAAUAGAGCUGAUUUGUCGAGGGCCAAUUAGUUAGCAUAUUUGGAGCCUAUUUUAUUGAGCAAUAGCAGAUUGACACAUCAGCACAGAUGGCUGUUUGCUGCAUGAGCCUCGCACGGUUGAAUGUAGGAAUGCAGAAAUUUUAUAUUAUAUCAACAAUAAUAAACAAAUUUAAAAAUUAAAAAAAUGAAAUAAAGUAAAAAAAACUUAAUAAUGAUGCAAGGAACUUCGCGUGAGGCAUUUGUUAGGAAAUGGCAUCCAUCUACCGAUUCUGCCGCUCGACAAACAUAAAUCUAAUAGUAUUAAAACAACGGAAUCUCUGACCUCGCAAGGGACAUACCCUGCAUCACGUGCCUGACAAAAAUUUAUAGCAACCGUCCGAUUUGAACCAUUGGGGGGAAAUUAAUUAAUUAUGGAAACUGCGGUAAAUGCUCAUGAAUUUGAACCGUUGAGUAGGUGGACCUCGGACCUGAUUCCCAGGACCGUGAUCCGCAUUCCACUGGCUUAAAACUGGACGGUCCGGAUCUCUCGCUGUCAUCUUUUGUACGAGGGGCUCGAGUGGGGACCAGGAAAAGCUACCUUCCCGUAUAAUUUAUCAUGAAAUUCUUUUAUUGUCACUCCAUGUUGUUUUCCGCUGUACCUGGAACGAUGCCAACUGCCGCAGCAGAGGUGGAGGUAAUCAGAUGAUGUCAUUUUACCAUUUUGGCAUUUUUCAAUAAAUAUCACGAUAAAAUGGGUGUUAUAUUGAUGCAGUGUCAGCUUUUUUUUAUUAUUAUUUUAUUUUUUGAUGGUCUGUCCACGUGGCACAAUAAUGUCAUUUAACUAGCCUAAUAAGUUUAUGUUAUUACAUGUCCUUAGGGUAGCCAUUCUAGGUGGUAAGGAGGAGGUUGGGUGCGAGGAUUUUCGGAUGGUAGCAAUGGAGCCAAAGGGUUAUGGUGACGAUGCAGUCACCACCGUAGUGGUGAAAAAGAUGUGGCAGUGAAUUCUGCCAUAGAAAAUGAGGAAUUUAGAGUUAUUUUUAGAGGAUUUAAAAAGAGAUUGGAAAACUUUGUCACGUGGCAAUGAUAUGAGCCCCAAAAUGAGAGUGGAAUUAGGUUCUCUUGAUGACUAAGCUUCUUUCUUCUCAUCAUUUUGGAAUUUUUAAUCCGUCGCCUUUGAUCUUUAUCUGCUGGAGUCUAUGUUGGAGAAUUCGACACAUUAAAUGUUGAUUUGGUGGACCAUAUUGAGAUUUUUUUAAGAUGAGAGAUCUUAAGUGCAAGAUAUGAAAAAAUUAUAAAGAAAAGUUUAGUUGUUACUUCGCAUCAUUUCACUUUUUGUUUUUUCAAAAAUAAAAUAAAAAAUCUAUUUUUUAUUUUUAAAAUUUUUAGAAAUAUAAUAUAUUUUGUAUAAUUAAUUAUUUUAAGAUUAAAAUGUGAUAAUUAUUGUAAAGGUGGUGUUAAUAACAAAGGAGGCAGUAUAAAUGUUAUAGUAUUGGAGGUAGGAGCAUUAGUAAAAUCAUAAAGCUAACAAUAGUAGUUGAGGUGGUAGGAGCGAUAGUGAGAGAAUCAAAUGCCAAUUAUACGAUGGAAUGGCAAUUAUAAGAAUGAUGGUUAGAUGGUAACGAUAUUAAUGAGAUGAAGGUACUAGCAAUUUGGUAGAGGUCCACAGUGAUGGUGCUAAAAAAUAUAAUUUUUUAUUUUUGAAAUAUUAGAAGAAGGAAUUUUUUAUUUCUAUUCUUUCUAGAAAUAAUGAAAGCAAUUUUUGAAAAAUACAAAAUAAAACUAAUAGCAUCAAUCUCGAUUUAUUUUAUUUUAAAAUAAAAAAUAAGAAAUAAAUGCAAUGGCGAAAAGAUUCUUAGAUUGCAGACUUAGCUUUCAUAUAAUAAAAUUAUAAUUAUUAGAUUUUAUUUACUCUCACAUUUAUCACAUACAAGGGAACUUUUUUUGAAGAAAGACCGGUAGAGCGUUCCCGAUGCCGGUGGGUGAGGAUAUCAAGAAUAUAAGAAUAAAUCCAGCAAAAUUUUAGGAGCAAUAAAUAUCUAACUUCUUGAAAACAAGGAACAAGAACCAAAAAGAAAGAAGGCACACCGAGAGGUCCGCCUCCUCUCAUCUCCGAUCUCGCUCCCUCUCGCCUCGUUUUUUUUUUAUAUAAUGGAUAUUCCGGUCCAAGCGGCGGCACCGGAAUCGAGACCAGCGACCACCCUCCUCUCUUCUUUUCUUUUCUUUGGAUGUCUCUUCUCCCAGUUGAAACCACGGUAGGAGGGGAAAAGCAAAAGAAGGCUAGUAGUUUCCGUAGAAAUAGGAGAAAGAAAGAGGCCAAGAAGAGCAGAAAAGGCGAGAGAGAAAGGGAGAGGGAGAUGGGCCUACCGAACGACGACGUUGUAGUCAUCCGGCAGCCGGAGAGGCCCGGAGAGCCGAGCGUUAUCACCAUCAGUUGCCCGGACAAGACCGGCCUCGGUUGCGACCUCUGCCGCGUGAUCCUACUCUUCGGCUUGAGCAUUGUGAGGGGAGGUAAGCCCAAUCUGCGUAUUUUCCCCCGAUCUCUUCUCUCCUCCUUUCGAGUCUGAUGCGAUUCUUGCGUAAAAAUCCGAUCUUGGUUUGGCUAUCGCCGUUCCUAGUAACAAAGAAACGAUUUUAAGCGCGAUUCUUGUGAAGAAAUUGAAAUGGCUGCUGGUUUCUAGACGUGAGCACGGAUGGGAAGUGGUGCUACAUACUGUUCUGGGUGGUGGAGAGGGGAGGGGAGGCGACGAGGUGGGGGCUGCUGAAGAAGAGGCUACUGGGGGCUUGCCCCGUGCCAUCUUUGCUGUUGGGGAUUGACGGCUACUUCUCUAGGCAGCUGGAUGCAGAGCAGCAGCCUCAAGUUUUUCUGCUCAAGUUCUCGUGCUACGAUCACUUGGGCCUCUUGCAUGGUGAUCACCCGUUUUCCCUCUCAUUUUCUUUUUGCUUUUGGAAUUUUAAUUUCUUGCUUCUUGGUUCUCUUUUGAUUUCUGUAUGGAAUCUAAUAGUUUCUUUUAGACAUGGAAUAUGGGAUCUUUUUUUUUUUUGUGGAAUCUCAAAGAUUCUUUUAUUUAUGAGACUUGUAAACCUUCUUUCUGUACAGAAUCUUUAUCUUAUUCUUCUUUUAUUAAUCCUGAUCUAUUUUGGAACCUACAAGUUAUUAGGAUGUCGUGUUUCUUAAUCCUUUGUUUUUUUGUUUUAAAUUUACAAAGAUAGGAAAACAUGUUUGAAGUCAAGUGUUCCUAUUUUCUAGGAGAAAGAGAAGGGGUGGGACAAUAUUUUGGAGAUCUGAAUUUAAGAGUUCCUAGUUAUUUGGAAUUUAUUUUACUUCACAAAUAAUGAAUAACAUUUUUCGGAAAAAAGUUGUUAAGUAAUUCCUCCUAUCUAAUCAUUUAUAAUGUAGACAGAGAUAUAUUUAACAUUGGUAAUCUGACACUUCCAAUGCUUUUACGAAUUUCUUUGAAAUUUCUUCGACUUCAUUCCACAAUUUUCUUUUUAGAUUCUCAUACUGAAGUUCGUAUACAUGUUCUACUUUUCUUUUAUCAUUCGGCCUCUUCCCUUCUUAGAGCUUUUAAGUUCUCUCAAGACUGUUGGGAUAUGGUUUGAAUUUUUAGGACAAAAUCUCACUGGUCAGAAUAUAAAGUUUAUUUUGUCUUGGGGUUUGGUAGAUGUGACGCAGGUGCUAUGUGAGCUUGAGCUCACAAUCAGGAGGGUGAACGUAUCCACCACUCCAGAUGGGAGAGUUAUGGACCUCUUCUUCAUAACUGACACGAGGUAUCACUUUAUCUCUGCAUCUUUGUGCCAUUUCAACAUGAAAUUCUUUUCUUUCUUUAUCUAUACUAGGCAAUUUCUUUUAUUGAUUUCUGUCAUGUGUCAAAAUUGAUUUUAAACAAAGAAAACAUCUGAUGCUUGCAAUGUUCAUAUCAAAUGCUGCUUAGUUGUUUGCUUAAAAUUUUGGAAGCUUCAGGAUUUGUGUCCUAAAUGCUAAAUUACAGAAAACCCCUGACUUGUACUGUUAAAGAUAUAGAGAUAUGUUAGAUCAGUGUUUUCUGGAAUCUUGUAUCAUCCACACACCAAAAAAUGCUGUGUAGCUAUGCAUAUUUAAGCAUCUAACUUAAAUCAAUGAUCAUCAUAUUGAGUGUGGAACUUCAGCUCCUCUACAUGCAAAAGGGUUGUGUCACUUGGGUGUAUUGGAUGGUGAUGCAUGUCCUUUUUAAUUGUACAAAAGAAAGGAGGAAGCUGGCUGCCUGCUUGUGCAGGGACAUAUAAUUCAUUCAUAGGGCCAGCUUUAUGUACAAAUAUACUAUCCAACAGCUUUUGUAUCCUAACCUUAGCAUGACUGUAUUCUUGAAUGUGGAUUGCACAUCUGGGUUUUAGUUCCACAUGUUGGAUAUAAUUAUUUACACACAGUUGCUACGCAAUGCUUCAUUAGGUUUUGUUCAAAUAUUUAUUUUUGUUAAACAUUAAUGAUGCACCAUGAAUAGGUUCUAAGCAUACUGAUCACCAUCCCCCUUAUCUGAUACUUUAUAUUUGUUUCAAGAGUCAAUUUUAUCAACUUUAGGUAGUUGUUACUUUAAUUUAAUUAUGUGAAGUUGCACAAUAUCAUAUUAUGCUAAUGAAAUGCCAUUUUUACAUACAUCUUGAAAAAUGCUUUAUUGUUUUUUCAUUAACUUCUGGGCCAUUCACCCCCCUUGGAUGACUUUAAAAUUCAUAUGCCACAAAAUGGAAGCUCUAAAGACUAUUUGAAAUAAGGAAGCUGCUAUGCGCAGAUUCAGUAGCAUGAGCAAUGGAAUACGUGGUGGUGGGAUUGUCGGACUUAGGUACAGUGACAAGCGAUUCGCAUAAUGCAGUUAAAUGGUCUACUGAAAGUAGACUAUUCUGUUCUAUAAAUUGCUAUAAAAAUAUGCUGCUUAUGGAAGUGACCUUGAAGGCCAGUUGCUUUAUAUCUUUGUAAGCUGGUUUUCGAAGCCUACGACUGUAUUCUACUCAGAAAAGGACCUAUAAAUAUUAUGGGCUUUUGUCUUUAUGUUCAAGUAGUAUAAGGAAGUUUGUUGAAAUUUCUGAAAGUAUGGGGAUGAGAAUAAUAAAACCUAUGGGAUUAUUGUUACAUUUUGUAUAUGAUGUUAUAAAAGGAGAGCUACAUUGUUGGCAAACUUUCAGUCACUUGAUCCUUGUGUGCAAGCAGUAAGCUUCUCAUUGAUUGUUAUGUGUGUUUGGACCAAGUAUUCUUCUGUUUAAUAUUUCUUUUGAAUUUGUCAUUAUUCUAAUAAAUAUUCCUUAGGCUCAUAUCUGAUAUAUGUCAUUGCAUUUACUUCAAUAUAUGUGAGACUGGUUCUAAGACAUGAACUAGUGUACCAAGUACUGUAGCACAUAUGUCCUCUUUCUCGGUCUUGCUUUAUUGUAUCCUGUUGGCAUGGAUCUGUCAAGAUUUAUGGAUUUGAUCCUUGCAGUUACUGAUCUUGUCUUGAUGUUUAUACAUUUGUGGUAGCUUAUGCCAUAAUGUUUCUAUUCUCCUCAUCUGUUUCAGAGAACUUCUUCACACAAACAGCAGAAAGGAUGAGACAUGUGCCCAAUUGAAAGCUGUUCUAGGGGACUCUAUGACUAGUUGCGACAUUGAACCAGCUAGCGCAGAGAUCGCUGCAUGUUUGCAGGCUUCAUCUUCUCUACCCCAUUCAAUCACAGAGGAGAUGUUCAGUGUGGAGCUUCCAGAUGAACCAUCCACAGGAUCUUUUCCGGCAUUUAAUAGUCUUUCAGUCACAAUGGAUAACUCUCUCAGCCCUGCUCAUACACUUAUUCAACUUUAUUGUCAUGAUCACAAGGGCCUCCUCUAUGACAUCAUGAGAACCCUGAAGGACUACAACAUUCAGGUAAUAACAUGAAAAUCCAACUGGGAGUUGUCUAAUAAAUUUCCCUCUGUGGUGGGGGCAUACGUUGACUGUGAUAAAGGAUUGUUAUAUGACUAGUGCAUACAAUGAGUUACCAGUAAGUCUUAAACCUAUACUUCCAUUAAUCUUGAUUUGGUAGUUUUUUGAACAAUGAGACGGCUCUGCUGCCCUAACAGAAUGAAACUGAUUCUUGAUGUUUCCCAAGUCUUCUGACCAUUAAAAAAGAGUUUUGCCAGUUAUGUUGAUACAGUGAGCGCCUGUUAAGCAGCGGAACCAUUUUAAAUGUUGCAGUUAUGCUACCAUUCAUGGUUAUUUAUAUCAAACACCUUUUACGAAUUGAAAAACCAUACACCUUUUCUUUUGCUGCACUGUCAUCUGGUCAUUUUCCUUAUGUUAGGCAUAUACACAGUAUGCCUGUACAACAAUUUACAUGUUAAACUGAUAAUUUCUCCUUGACCUUUUGUCUUUCUGUAUGCAUAUCUAAAUUCCAAUUCUUGUACCUGUCAG
rnacentral:lncRNA from 1 species